rnacentral:rRNA from 1 species
UGCAGCCUACGGGAGGCAGCAGUGAGGAAUAUUGGUCAAUGGUCGGGAGACUGAACCAGCCAAGCCGCGUGAGGGAGGAAGGUACAGAGUAUCGUAAACCUCUUUUGUCAGGGAACAAAGACUGGGACGCGUCCCCGGAUGAGUGUACCUGAAGAAAAAGCAUCGGCUAACUCCGUGCCAGCAGCCGCGGUAAUACGGAGGAUGCGAGCGUUAUCCGGAUUUAUUGGGUUUAAAGGGUGCGCAGGCGGUCUGUUAAGUCAGCGGUCAAAGCCCGGGGCUCAACCCCGGCCCGCCGUGGAACCUGG